UCCUAUGAAGAUAGCGUAUCAUUCUUGAAAAUCACUAUUGAAAAUUAAAAGUGCCUCGUUGUUUUGGAAAGAAAUGUUGCUACAGCCAACACUGCUAUGUGAUCAGCCCAUGUUCCAUUUCUUCUCAGAUUAAUCAGAUAGCUUGCCCAGUCUUUGUUGACAACAAAGUGUGACAUAUCAAGAGGUUUGCCUUCUGUAUCCUGGAUAUGCAAGAGUUGAUACAAUUCAAUGUUCAACCAAUUGUCUAUUAGUAAGAAGUACAAAAAUACUAAUGCUACUCAAAUACAUGUGGGAGAGGCUGGCUAGACGAGAUUAGCUAAAUGACGUCACGUAUGUCACGCGUAUCUAGUUGUAGAGCCCUAGAUGAUCUAAGACAUAUUGAACUUACCCAUGUAAGUUGAAGAA